UGGGGAAUAUUGGACAAUGGGCGCAAGCCUGAUCCAGCCAUGCCGCGUGGGUGAUGAAGGCCCUAGGGUUGUAAAGCCCUUUCAGCGGGGAAGAUAAUGACGGUACCCGCAGAAGAAGCCCCGGCUAACUUCGUGCCAGCAGCCGCGGUAAUACGAAGGGGGCUAGCGUUGCUCGGAAUUACUGGGCGUAAAGCGCACGUAGGCGGCUUUCUAAGUCGGGGGUGAAAUCCUGGAGCUCAACUCCAGAACUGCCUUCGAUACUGGAAAGCUCGAGUCCGGGAGAGGUGAGUGGAACUGCGAGUGUAGAGGUGAAAUUCGUAGAUAUUCGCAAGAACACCAGUGGCGAAGGCGGCUCACUGGCCCGGUACUGACGCUGAGGUGCGAAAGCGUGGGGAGCAAACAGG
rnacentral:rRNA from 3 species